rnacentral:rRNA from 1 species
AUGCCGCUCCUCCUCCUCCUCCUCCGUGUCCUGCUCCUGGCCGCUGGGCUCGCCGUCUCCCGCGGGUACCCCACUGCCGGCGCCGGCGAAGGCAGCCUGUACAACUCGAGCAUGUGCCAGAAGUCCUUCGCGUGUGGGGGGAUUAACAUCCACUACCCCUUCUACCUGUCCAGCGAGUCCAAGGUCGUCGACGGGGUGGCCUACUCCUACUGCGGCUACCCCGGCAUGGCCGUGCUUUGCGACGACAGCCGCGCCAACGCCACCGCCACGCUCCGGCUCGCCGGGGGCACCAACUACACCGUCCACGCCAUCGACUACGACAACCACACCAUCACGCUCGCCGACGCCGACGUCAUCAACGGCGUCUGCCCCAUGGUCCGCCACAACGUCAACAUCCCUCGCGAGGCGUGGCUCAACUUCACGCCCACCGGCAACAGCACCAUCUCCUUCUUCCUCGACUGCAGCUUCACCACAAACGUCACCGUCGCCCCUCUGCCGCCGCCUGAGCUCGUCCCGAUCAACUGCACCGGCUUCGAGCGAGGGCGCGGGUCGUCGUUCCUCGCCACGCAGCUCGGCGCGCCGGACGGGAACUGGACACGGGCGUGCAAGGAGGUGUACGUGGCGCCCGUGCUGACCGGCGAGUGGCUGACGAGCCCGGACUCCCGCGGGCGGCUCGGGAGCGGCGGGUACGGCGACGUGCUGCGCCGCGGGUUCCGGCUCAGCUGGGACCCGAGCGCCGGCCCCUGCUUCAAGUGCGAGCUGUCCGGGGGCCGGUGCAGCUACGACCAGCCCGGCGGGUUCCUCGGCUGCCUCUGCUCCGACGGCCGCGUGCGCAACAUGGACUGCGGACCAAAGAGAACGAGCAAAAAUGCAAUAAUAGCAGUAGGAUGCUCCGCAGCAGCUCUGGUUCUAUUCGUGCUUCUCCUCGUGGUGUCGUUCCUGUACAUCCGCAAGAGGAGGCAGUACAAGAUGACCUCGUCGUCCAGGCUCCUCAAGUACAGCAACUCCGGCGGGACGCCCCGCUCCAGAGGCGGCAGCGACCUGGAGUCCAGCGGCGUCCACAACCUGCAGACGCACCACUUCGCCUACGAGGAGCUGGAGGAGGCCACCGGCGGCUUCAGCGACACCCGCGAGCUCGGCGACGGCGGCUUCGGCACCGUGUACAAAGGCCAACUCCGGGACGGGCGCGUGGUGGCCGUGAAGCGGCUCUACAACAACGGCUGCCGGCACGUGGAGCAGUUCCUGAACGAGGCCGCCAUCCUGUCGCGGCUGCGCCACCCGAACCUCGUCACCUUCUACGGCUGCACCUCCAGCCGCAGCCGGGAGCUGCUGCUCGUGUACGAGUACGUGCCCAACGGCACCGUGGCCGACCACCUGCAGGGCCACCGCGCCGCCGAGCGCGCGCUGCCGUGGCCGCUCCGCCUCAACGUCGCCGUCGAGGCCGCCGCCGCGCUCGCCUACCUCCACGCCAUCGACCCGCCCGUGGUGCACCGGGACGUCAAGACCACCAACAUCCUCCUCGACGCCGACUUCCACGUCAAGGUCGCCGACUUCGGGCUCUCCAGGCUCUUCCCGCUCGACGGCGCCACCCACGUGUCCACCGCGCCGCAGGGCACCCCGGGGUACGUGGACCCGGAGUACCACCAGUGCUACCAGCUCACCGACCGGAGCGACGUCUACAGCUUCGGCGUCGUGCUCGCGGAGCUCAUCUCGUCCAAGCCCGCCGUCGACGUCACCCGGGACCGCGACGAGAUCAACCUGGCCGCCAUGGCUGUGGGCAGGAUACAGCGGUCGGAGCUGGACCAGCUGGUGGACGCCGAGCUUGGGUAUGGCUCCGACGAGGCCACGACGAGGGCGAUCACGAUGGUGGCGGAGCUGGCGUUCCGGUGCCUCCAGCAGAACAGCGAGAUGCGGCCGCCGAUCAAGGAGGUGCUCGACGGUCUCAGGGGCAUACAACAGGGCGGCGCGAAGGAGAAGAAAUACGACGUCAUCGUCGUGCCCCGCUCCCCGAACACCGUGCACGCUCCUUGGGACAGCAUGAGCACCACCCCAAGCAUUAGCCAGUAG